GACGAACGCUGGCGGCGUGCUUAACACAUGCAAGUCGAACGGAAAGGCCCUGCUUUUGUGGGGUGCUCGGGUGGCGAACGGGUGAGUAACACGUGAGUAACCUGCCCUUGACUUUGGGAUAACUUCAGGAAACUGGGGCUAAUACCGGAUAGGAGCUCCUGCUGCAUGGUGGGGGUUGGAAAGUUUCGGCGGUUGGGGAUGGACCCGCGGCUUAUCAGCUUGUUGGUGGGGUAGUGGCAUACCAAGGCUUGGACGGGUCGCCGGCCUGAGAGGGUGACCGGCCACAUUGGGACUGAGAUACGGCCCAGACGCCUACGGGAGGCAGCAGUGGGGAAUAUUGCACAAUGGGCGGAAGCCUGAUGCAGCAACGCCGCGGGCGGGAUGACGGCCUUCGGGUUGUAAACCGCUUUCGCCUGUGACGAAGCGUGAGUGACGGUAAUGGGUAAAGAAGCACCGGCUAACUACGUG
rnacentral:rRNA from 1 species